ACGGCCGCAUCACGUUGAAACACCGAUUCCCAUGCGAUCACCGAAGUUAAGCAACGCCGAGCCUGGUGAUUUCCUAGAUGGGUGACCGCUUCGGAAGUCAC